GGUUUUGCAAACAAUAAGAUUGAGAGAAACCUUAAAUAUAACAAAGAAAAGAUAAAGAAGAAUAAGCUAACCUUAGUGGGGAAGAUGACCGGGGAGUAAUUGUUAUGGAAAAAGAGGUAGAUUUGGAUUAUUAGGGGUGAAACUGAUAACAACCUACAAACAAUCCAGGAACCACAAAAACAAAAUAAUAGGAAUCAUAUGACAGAGAAUUCCAAUAAAUUCAAAUAACAAUUUAUUUACAGCAACAUUAUC
rnacentral:lncRNA from 1 species